rnacentral:lncRNA from 1 species
CUUUAUUUGACAGCAUGCAUUUGACAACGAGUGGGACAUUAUUCUGAAGGCUGUGCGUUAACUGUGUGUCACGCAUGAAUAUGCUGCGCUUUAUUCUGGACUGUCUGCGGCCCGCACGAGCUCGCGCUGCAGCCGCUGCCAGGGACACGGAGCUUGAGGCUCAGGUCAACACUUCAGAUGAUAAUGAAAUCAAGGGUCUGCAGGAUGAGGUGCACAUGGAACAGGAGACCCUUCAGACGGUCAAGGCCUUGCGCCGUAACACGCAGGAGACCGUGGAGAUGCUGGAGGACAGGAAGACACAGCUGAAGGAAGAACUGAAGAUCAUCUAUGACCUCCAGAAACAGGAGAGGGA